rnacentral:misc_RNA from 1 species
GAUGAAGAACGUAGUGAAAUGCGAUAAGUAAUGCGAAUUGCAGAAUUCCGUGAGUCAUCGAAUCUUUGAACGCACAUUGCGCCCUCUGGUAUUCCGGGGGGCAUGCCUGUCCGAGCGUCAUUACAACCCUCAAGCUCAGCUUGGUGUUGGGCCCCGCCGCCCCGGCGGGCCCUAAAGUCAGUGGCGGUGCCGUCCGGCUCCGAGCGUAGUAAUUCUUCUCGCUCUGGAGGUCCGGUCGUGUGCUCGCCAGCAACCCCCAAUUUUUUUCAGGUUGACCUCGGAUCAGGUAGGGAUACCCGCUGAACUUAAGCAUAUCAAUAAGCGGAGGA